AUUGAACGCUGGCGGCAGGCUUAACACAUGCAAGUCGAGCGAGCGGCGGACGGGCGAGUAAUGUCUGGGCACCUGCCUGAUGGAGGGGGCUAACUACUGGAAACGGUAGCUAAUACCGCAUACCAUCAGAUGUGCCCAGAGGGGAUUAGCUAGUAGGUGGGGUAAUGGCUCACCUAGGCGACGAUCCCUAGCUGGUCUGAGAGGAUGACCAGCCAAACUGGAACUGAGACACGGUCCAGACUCCUACGGGAGGCAGCAGUGGGGAAUAGUGCACAAUGGGCGAAAGCCUGAUGCAGCCAUGCCGCGUGUGUGAAGAAGGCCUUCGGGUUGUAAAACACUUUCAGCGAGGAGGCGUUACUCGCAGAGAAAGCACCGGCUAACUCCGUGCCAGCAGCCGCGGUAAUUC
rnacentral:rRNA from 1 species